GCGGGAGUGCCCGAGCGGACCAAGGGGGCGGACUCAAGGCCUGUAAGAUAUCCGCUGGCGAAGGCCAUCCGGGGUUCAAAUCCCCGCUCCCGCA
rnacentral:tRNA from 1 species